CUGGAGUGGGUUUAAAAUUUCGUAUAAUUUCGUAUGUGAGCAAGCUGUGUGAUUUAGAUUAUUUUAAAGAUUAAAUGUUUUUCAGGUAUUAAUGGUAAACUAUAAAAUGUUUGCUUCUGUAUAAAUCUUGGUCAUAACUUUUUUGUGGGUUUUUUUCUUUCUCUGACUCUAACUUAAGUUGUAUGACUAGUAUUCCAGACAAUUAACCAGAUCUUAUAGCGAUGCAUCUUUUAAAGUCAGUUUACUCUCCAGAUCUACAGGUAGAAUAUGUUCAGAGAAGGUCCUAAGUAAGCUCUUGGCUGUGUUACUCAGAAUUGAGGUAUGCUGUCAGGUCAGGACUGCCAAAACAAGUAAGCAAAAAGAGAUUUUAAGAAUUGAAGAUUCGAUUUUAGAAUCUGAAACACACGCCCUGGGUUUCAAGGUAAAGAAAAAGCAGAAUGUUAAACCCCAUUCGGAUCACCAUAGGUCGGAGAAUAGAAGAA
rnacentral:lncRNA from 1 species